rnacentral:lncRNA from 1 species
AGGCUAUCCAUUAUCACAAACACUGUUAGUUCCAUCUUCCUUAGUAAGAAGGUAUAGCUGGUAUUCAAGGCAGCAACGUGCCCACAAGGAAUAGUGGUAUGACCCAGUUCUGGCCAUGAAGUAAUCAGAAGCCUACUACUGAGGAUCCAGGAAAAUGGUUUGUUUCCUAGUGAAAAGACAGUUUCAGCUGUCUUCUGACCA